UUAACUCCCACCAUCUCUCCUCGAUCCUUGCUCCAAUCCACACCUCCCCCCACUACAUACCCUCAUCUCCACACUGCCCCAAGCACAACUCGCACAAGAAUAUUGCAGCAGCAGCAGCAGCUUCAGAAAAUUCAUGGGUUCUUGCAGGGUUGCUUCUGUUUCUCACCGGGCAGCGUUGCUGCUGCUGCUCGUGUUGUUGCUGUGUUUGACGUCGUCGUCUUUAGCUGAGAGUGAAGGAAGAAGGUGGCAGCCGCGGCGGCUGCUGGUGUCGCCGGCGGCGACGUCGAGCCAGCAUAGGGCCGGUCAGCAGCAGCAGCAAAUGAGAGUUGAUGGUGCGAAUAAGCCCUUCAAGCAGCCUGCGACGGCGGCGAGCUUCGGCCGUCGACGUGUUCCCAGAUCCGGCUGGAAUCCCAUCCAGAACAGAUGAGUGUACGGCUUCAAGUGAACAAACCUAAGCAUCUAUAUGGGUGAUUGCCUACGAGAAGCAGAGCUUGGGGAGGUUGAACCUGUGUACUGGUAGCUUUUCAGUUUUGUAGUCCUAGUUUUUUUUUCAAUUUCCUUUUUCUAUAGGUAUUUUCUAGUGUAAGUUAAUUAGUUAGUUUGGGAGUAAUACUGUACUGUAAUAGUUAGCUGGCUGGUUUAUGGCAGGCCAUUUCCCUUUCAUGUUCUACACUUCUACUAGUACUUGUACUUAUUUAUUUUGUUGAGUUAGCAUCUGUAAUAUAAGUUGGUGGUACAUGGAGGAAGUCAGAUGUUCUUUUU